UAUUUAUAGUUGAGCCUCCCCAAAUCCAACGGUACAGAUCAAUUACAUCAACGACUGAGAUUAAAUGGUAUCUACAAAUUAAAUCUCUAAGAUUACAAAAUCAUAUCUUCUAAAAUUGCAUAUCAUAUCUAAGAUUGCAUAUCAUAUCUAAGAUUGCAUAUCCCUGAAGAUUAUGUUUCCAUAAGCUUGUAGAUGGACCUUCAACCUUUUCAAGUAAUGGGCAAUUCCGAUCGGGCCAAAUGAUAUUACUUUGAGUUUUUUUUUGUGAGCCCGAGCGAAAAUUGGGUAUUACAAAUUUGAGUGAAAAGUUGUCGUUCCAUAAACAAUCCAAAUUCCUCAACUUCAGAACAAAUAAAUAAUUUCUUUUUGAAAAUAUAUUGUUUUGCUUCUCAAUCCCUAUAAAUAAAUAACAUUAUAAAAAUAACUAAAGUAACCCUAUAAUAUUGUUAAGCUUAAUCUAAAGUUUUUCAGGGUUGUUGGGUUUCCUCUUCAUCUUCCUAUUUUUCUUCUUCUCCCACUUCAACUUCAACUUCUUCUUUGCUUUUCUCUUUUUAUUUUUUAUUUAGCUUUGGCUUUAACUAAAUAACCC
rnacentral:lncRNA from 1 species